CCACUGGUCAUAAAAUGGCGGCUACUUCUAGCGUUUGCAGUUUGCACAUGUAUGUAGCUCUCGUGUUCCAUUUUGCAUAUUUUUGGUAUUGAAAUCGAAGUGUAAGUGCGUCGAGUCGAGCCUUGUGCUCCUCCGCCUUGCUGUUGCGAAUUCACUCCAAAAAUCUCCUUAUUCCGUGUAUUUCUACUUUUUGUGAUAGAGACACUUUUGUUUGUGGAAUUUAUGAACUUUGGUGUAAUGCCGAGACGUUGUGCUUUCGGCUGUGCGCUCCGUGAGAUUCCAAUGCAUAGUUUCCCAGAUGCUGUCAAAUUCCUGAGCAGUUUAAAACUUGGGUCAGUCUUGUUGGUGGAAACCCUUAAACAUCUGAUCUUGAAUGUUAUAAGAAGAAGAGAAUUUGUGAUAUACACUUUUCUGACAGACACAGAAAUCAUAAUCAAUGGCUAAGCACAUUGGCAGUUCCGAUGCUUCAUCUGCUUGGACAACUACAGAGUCAAGUAAUCUUAGGACAAGCUUCAUCCACACAACAUUUACUGCCUACAAUAAUACAGCAAGACUGUUCAGAGCCAUAUGUGAGCAACUUUAUUUUAGAAAAAGCAUCAACUUCAACAACAUUCCAACCUGUGGCAUCAGGUAAAAUUCACAUUUUUUUUUAAUUUGUU